GGCCUCGUAGCUCAGUUGGCUAGAGCGUUGGCUGAACUAUAGUCUUCACCAUGCUGGCGUGGGUUCGAAUCCCACCAAGGCAG
rnacentral:tRNA from 1 species